rnacentral:rRNA from 1 species
GACGUAGGGGGCCAGCGUUGCUCGGAAUUACUGGGCGUAAAGGGUUCGUAGGCGGUGUGGCAAGUCGGGAGUGAAAUCUCUGGGCUCAACCCAGAGUCUGCUUCCGAAACUGCUGUGCUUGAGUGUGGGAGAGGCGCGUGGAAUUGCAGGUGUAGCGGUGAAAUGCGUAGAUAUCUGCAGGAACACCAGUGGCGAAAGCGGCGCGCUGGACCACUACUGACGCUGAGGAACGAAAGCUAGGGGAGCAAACAGG